AAUCCCGGGGCCUAACCACGGUCCGCCCCCCGAACCCCGCGGCUCGGGUCCGGAAGGGGAGGGUGGAACACCCGGUGUAGCGGUGGAAUGCGCAGAUAUCGGGUGGAACACCGGUGGCGAAGGCGGCCCUCUGGGCCGAGACCGACGCUGAGGCGCGAAAGCUGGGGGAGCGAAC
rnacentral:rRNA from 1 species